AUUGAACGCUGGCGGCAGGCCUAACACAUGCAAGUCGAACGGUAACAGGAAACAGCUUGCUGUUUCGCUGACGAGUGGCGGACGGGUGAGUAAUGUCUGGGAAACUGCCUGAUGGAGGGGGAUAACUACUGGAAACGGUAGCUAAUACCGCAUAACGUCGCAAGACCAAAGAGGGGGACCUUCGGGCCUCUUGCCAUCAGAUGUGCCCAGAUGGGAUUAGCUAGUAGGUGGGGUAACGGCUCACCUAGGCGACGAUCCCUAGCUGGUCUGAGAGGAUGACCAGCCACACUGGAACUGAGACACGGUCCAGACUCCUACGGGAGGCAGCAGUGGGGAAUAUUGCACAAUGGGCGCAAGCCUGAUGCAGCCAUGCCGCGUGUAUGAAGAAGGCCUUCGGGCUGUAAAGUACUUUCAGCGGGGAGGAAGGGAGUAAAGUUAAUACCUUUGCUCAUUGACGUUACCCGCAGAAGAAGCACCGGCUAACUCCGUG
rnacentral:rRNA from 1 species